AAAACAAUGAACGAAAAACAAAUAUGUAACACAUAAACAAACGACAACCACUGAAUUACAGGCUCCUGACUUGGGACAGGCACAUACAUAAAUAAUGUGGCGGAGUUAACCAUGUAAGCGGGAUCCCAACCCUCCCCUUAACCUGGGACAGUGGUAUAACAGUACAACAUAAGAACGAACUAUAAAAAUUAGUUGAAAAAAGCUUAACUCAUCAGAUGGACA
rnacentral:lncRNA from 1 species